UAGAAAUGAAUAAUUACCGCCAUGAAUUGAUGAAUGAUUUCCCUCCAAAAUAUUGGAGGAUGUUGGCUUUCCCUCUCCCGUUGUUGGUCGAAUCGAAACUCCAAAAAUCAAUAAGUUGAAAAGCAAAGCCCUAAUCUUCACUUCUCUUUUGUUGGAAGAUUAUGAUGUCAAGCCACGAAGACGAUCUUGAUCUCCUUCUUUCUCUUCAGGACAGAGUUCUUGAAACCCCUCCCGCUUCUCCCUCUCCACUUGAUUUUGAUGACGACGAUGAUAAUGUGUCCCCCAAGCACAAGCAGAGAGAGAAGCCCGACAUGUCCGUUUUCAAAGACGCCGUUCAGGAUUGCCUUCACUACCAACCCUCUAACCCUAACCCUAAACCUAAACCUAAUUCCAAACCCCUCACCGACGAUGCCCAACUUGACAAAUUCUCUGGUCUUCGGAUAAGGAACCAAUGUUUAACCCCUGCUGAGCUUAAAGAAUGUGUUCAAGACAUUCGUUUUGUUCGCCUACCGGUCAUCAAGAAUUUGGUGGGUGGAGAUACUUUUCCUGGAAGUUGGGUGACUGUUGGAGUGUUGACUGAGAAGGGGAUUCAGAAAACAAGUUCAACGGGGAAGAGCUAUUCUAUAUGGAAAAUUGGGUGUUUGGAUGAAGAUACGGUUUCUCUUUUCUUGUUCGGUGAUGCUUAUCAGAGGAACUCUCAAGAGCAGGCAGGAACAGUCUUUGCACUCUUCAAUAGUGCUGUCCGCAAGGAUGCCAAGGGUAAUGGUUUUUCUUUGAGUAUAUUCUCCUCUAACCAAAUUUUGAAGAUGGGCACCUCUGUUGAUUAUGGAGUUUGUAAAGGGAAAAGAGCGGAUGGGAUGGCUUGUACACUGGCCAUAAAUAAGCGUCAGGGGACUUACUGUAAAUAUCAUAAAUCAAAAGCAUCUGACAAAUAUUCCACAGUACGAACUGAACUCAAGGGAGGAAAUUUAAGAACAGCAUUUAGGCCAAGAAAUCAUCUCAAGUCAGAAGGGAUAUACUUAGUUGACCCCCUUUCCGACAAAACAAACUUGAAAAAGUCUCGGUCAGUGAAAUUGUUAUCCGUGGAUGGUCUCAAAAAGGCAUUGAGGAAAAGUAACAACAACUCCACACUCGCAAGGGAUUCGGUUUCUUACCGAGGUUGCAGGCAAAUUUGAUCCAAAAAUGAUGAUGAAAAAGGGACCAAAGACUCCAACUGAACAACACAAAUGCACGGAGAAGAGGAAAUCAUCUUCUGUGAAUACGGGAUACUCUACUGUCAUAAGAAACCAACCGUCAGAUGUAAAAAGAAUAAAAACAGAGAGGCGAGAUUUGGUGGAUAAAACAACAAAGAGUACAGGAAAGAUGAUUGAAUUAGAUUUUGUUAGUUCCGACGAUGAAGACUUCUGAAAUUAAUGUGCUCUGCUUGAUUUUAUUGUUUAGUGUGCAAAAACGUGUUGUGAAAAGCAAAUGAGUGCUACUGCAGGGUGGUAAUACAAAUCAAAAUAGUGCACAUUAGUGCCCCAGAAAGUGUUGAAGGUCUCCUUGAAAGAUUAUUUUCUAGUGCAAAUAUGCCAAAGUCCUGCACACUGAAGAAUUUAUUUUACUCAGUGAUAUCAGUGGUAGGAAUACGGGAUUAUGUUACAUUGUCUGAAUCUUUGUUAUCAAUUUGGGGUGAACUAUACCAGCUUACUCAAAUAUAGUAACUCUCUUCAAAAUAUAAUUUGGGGUGGAGGGUUUGAUAUAAUUUUUUCCUUCAAAUUGUCAUAAGAGAUUUGCUAAAUUGCAAUUUUGUCCUUGUUGUCCAUCAACUGUCUUUCUCGUUAUGUUUUAUUUUCUUCAUGGACAGAAGCCACGAGAAAUAAGACUGGGCUGUGGUAGUCUUUCGUAAUAUUCACUAACAACCAUAACAGGGUGGAUAAGGUGCAGUAAUAAUUUUGUACAAAAUUGCUAAAUCGGUGAAUUUCUGAUCUUGUAAUCAAAUUGAAUUAGAGUUUCAUUUCAAUAUAUAAUUACCCAU